AGCGUACACGGUGGAUGCCCUGGCAGUCAGAGGCGAUGAAGGACGUGCUAAUCUGCGAUAAGCGUCGGUAAGGUGAUAUGAACCGUUAUAACCGGCGAUUUCCGAAUGGGGAAACCCAGUGUGUUUCGACACACUAUCAUUAACUGAAUCCAUAGGUUAAUGAGGCGAACCGGGGGAACUGAAACAUCUAAGUACCCCGAGGAAAAGAAAUCAACCGAGAUUCCCCCAGUAGCGGCGAGCGAACGGGGAGCAGCCCAGAGCCUGAAUCAGUGUGUGUGUUAGUGGAAGCGUCUGGAAAGGCGCGCGAUACAGGGUGACAGCCCCGUACACAAAAAUGCACAUACUGUGAGCUCGAUGAGUAGGGCGGGACACGUGGUAUCCUGUCUGAAUAUGGGGGGACCAUCCUCCAAGGCUAAAUACUCCUGACUGACCGAUAGUGAACCAGUACCGUGAGGGAAAGGCGAAAAGAACCCCGGCGAGGGGAGUGAAAAAGAACCUGAAACCGUGUACGUACAAGCAGUGGGAGCACGCUUAGGCGUGUGACUGCGUACCUUUUGUAUAAUGGGUCAGCGACUUAUAUUCUGUAGCAAGGUUAACCGAAUAGGGGAGCCGAAGGGAAACCGAGUCUUAACUGGGCGUUAAGUUGCAGGGUAUAGACCCGAAACCCGGUGAUCUAGCCAUGGGCAGGUUGAAGGUUGGGUAACACUAACUGGAGGACCGAACCGACUAAUGUUGAAAAAUUAGCGGAUGACUUGUGGCUGGGGGUGAAAGGCCAAUCAAACCGGGAGAUAGCUGGUUCUCCCCGAAAGCUAUUUAGGUAGCGCCUCGUGAAUUCAUCUCCGGGGGUAGAGCACUGUUUCGGCAAGGGGGUCAUCCCGACUUACCAACCCGAUGCAAACUGCGAAUACCGGAGAAUGUUAUCACGGGAGACACACGGCGGGUGCUAACGUCCGUCGUGAAGAGGGAAACAACCCAGACCGCCAGCUAAGGUCCCAAAGUCAUGGUUAAGUGGGAAACGAUGUGGGAAGGCCCAGACAGCCAGGAUGUUGGCUUAGAAGCAGCCAUCAUUUAAAGAAAGCGUAAUAGCUCACUGGUCGAGUCGGCCUGCGCGGAAGAUGUAACGGGGCUAAACCAUGCACCGAAGCUGCGGCAGCGACGCUUAUGCGUUGUUGGGUAGGGGAGCGUUCUGUAAGCCUGCGAAGGUGUGCUGUGAGGCAUGCUGGAGGUAUCAGAAGUGCGAAUGCUGACAUAAGUAACGAUAAAGCGGGUGAAAAGCCCGCUCGCCGGAAGACCAAGGGUUCCUGUCCAACGUUAAUCGGGGCAGGGUGAGUCGACCCCUAAGGCGAGGCCGAAAGGCGUAGUCGAUGGGAAACAGGUUAAUAUUCCUGUACUUGGUGUUACUGCGAAGGGGGGACGGAGAAGGCUAUGUUGGCCGGGCGACGGUUGUCCCGGUUUAAGCGUGUAGGCUGGUUUUCCAGGCAAAUCCGGAAAAUCAAGGCUGAGGCGUGAUGACGAGGCACUACGGUGCUGAAGCAACAAAUGCCCUGCUUCCAGGAAAAGCCUCUAAGCAUCAGGUAACAUCAAAUCGUACCCCAAACCGACACAGGUGGUCAGGUAGAGAAUACCAAGGCGCUUGAGAGAACUCGGGUGAAGGAACUAGGCAAAAUGGUGCCGUAACUUCGGGAGAAGGCACGCUGAUAUGUAGGUGAAGUCCCUCGCGGAUGGAGCUGAAAUCAGUCGAAGAUACCAGCUGGCUGCAACUGUUUAUUAAAAACACAGCACUGUGCAAACACGAAAGUGGACGUAUACGGUGUGACGCCUGCCCGGUGCCGGAAGGUUAAUUGAUGGGGUUAGCGCAAGCGAAGCUCUUGAUCGAAGCCCCGGUAAACGGCGGCCGUAACUAUAACGGUCCUAAGGUAGCGAAAUUCCUUGUCGGGUAAGUUCCGACCUGCACGAAUGGCGUAAUGAUGGCCAGGCUGUCUCCACCCGAGACUCAGUGAAAUUGAACUCGCUGUGAAGAUGCAGUGUACCCGCGGCAAGACGGAAAGACCCCGUGAACCUUUACUAUAGCUUGACACUGAACAUUGAGCCUUGAUGUGUAGGAUAGGUGGGAGGCUUUGAAGUGUGGACGCCAGUCUGCAUGGAGCCGACCUUGAAAUACCACCCUUUAAUGUUUGAUGUUCUAACGUGGACCCGUAAUCCGGGUUGCGGACAGUGUCUGGUGGGUAGUUUGACUGGGGCGGUCUCCUCCUAAAGAGUAACGGAGGAGCACGAAGGUUGGCUAAUCCUGGUCGGACAUCAGGAGGUUAGUGCAAUGGCAUAAGCCAGCUUGACUGCGAGCGUGACGGCGCGAGCAGGUGCGAAAGCAGGUCAUAGUGAUCCGGUGGUUCUGAAUGGAAGGGCCAUCGCUCAACGGAUAAAAGGUACUCCGG
rnacentral:rRNA from 1 species